UGGGGGAUAUUGCACAAUGGAGGAAACUCUGAUGCAGCGACGCCGCGUGAGUGAAGAAGUAUUUCGGUAUGUAAAGCUCUAUCAGCAGGGAAGAAAAUGACGGUACCUGACUAAGAAGCCCCGGCUAACUACGUGCCAGCAGCCGCGGUAAUACGUAGGGGGCAAGCGUUAUCCGGAUUUACUGGGUGUAAAGGGAGCGUAGACGGCGAUGCAAGUCUGAAGUGAAAUGCCCGGGCUCAACCUGGGAACUGCUUUGGAAACUGUAUGGCUAGAGUGCUGGAGAGGUAAGCGGAAUUCCUAGUGUAGCGGUGAAAUGCGUAGAUAUUAGGAAGAACACCAGUGGCGAAGGCGGCUUACUGGACAGUAACUGACGUUCAGGCUCGAAAGCGUGGGGAGCAAACAGGAUUAGAUACCCUGGUAGU
rnacentral:rRNA from 1 species